rnacentral:rRNA from 1 species
UACGUAGGGUGCAAGCGUUAAUCGGAAUUACUGGGCGUAAAGCGUGCGCAGGCGGUUAUGUAAGACAGAUGUGAAAUGCCCGGGCUUAACCUGGGAACUGCGAUUUGUGACUGCAUAGCUAGAGUGUGGUCAGAGGGGGUAGAAUUCCACGUGUAGCAGUGAAAUGCGUAGAUAUGUGGAGGAAUACCGAUGGCGAAGGCCAGGCCCC